rnacentral:lncRNA from 1 species
GCGGGAUCGACGUUCAUCGCAUGAACGUCGUUUGAUAACCGUUCGUAGUUAGGUAAGGAUUAAAAACUUUUAAUAACUUUAGGAAGAUCAGAUCUUCACCUUGUGCGGGUAGAUGAUCACCGCAAACUGGAGUUCGUGGUUUUAGGACGAAGGUUCGUAUGAAGCCGUUCACACGUCCGGCCUCUACGGGUAUCCACACGAAGCAGUGAUCCGAUCAAAGCUCUCUUGUCUUCCCGGGGUGCUAGCUCCCUUGCAAAGACUUCUUUUGAUGGCUGAUUUCCUCUCUUUCAAUCAACCCUUGAUUGUGCUCGAGAGGAGGAAGAAGAAGGAGGGAUCUUGAAGAAGAACCAAAGCCCUUACUGCAGCCUUUCUUUUCCCUGCGUUGGAUGAAGGAAGGGAAGGGGAGGAGGCCGCCAAGGCUUCUUCUUCUUUUCUUCUUGCUUGCGGAUGAAACAAGGAGAGGAGAGAGGGUGGCUACGGCUGGGAGGAGAGGAGAUCAAUGCUUAGGGCGUCAGCCCCCUUUUCACCUUUUUAUAAAGCAUCUAGGGCUCUUACAACUUAGGAGCCCUAGACUAGUUUCCUAAGAGGGGGCGCCGGCCCCCUCUCUUCAUGCCGCACCAAGGAAGCAAAAAGGGGAGGGGCUUGCGCCCCUCCCUCUUGGUAAACCCUAAUCCACAUUUAGUAGGGUUUGGAAUGCCCUAAUGUGGUCAAGC